rnacentral:lncRNA from 1 species
CAGGCAUGGCAUGGCCUAUGGAUGAGCAGGUGGUGCCUGCUGUGUUUGCUGUCUUCUAUAAAGAAAGCAGUGAUGGAAGUUAGGUUAGGAAGGGAAGGUAAUGUGCACAGGUGUUCCUCUGCAAAGCUGAGGAUGAAGGAGGGAAUUAAUAUAAGGGGAGAUCUGCUGAAUUGUUAAGCCAAUGAUAGCUUGGUGUUGGCUCUACCAGAAAUGUUUGCAUCACCACUGUUUCAAACGCCAUUAAGCUUUUAACUUUUCUCUUCCAUAAACAGUAGGUAGUAAACUAUAACAAUCUACUACUUUCCUGUAAGAGAGGGAAUAUUAUAGACAUUUGAGCAAAAAUUUGACAUGCAUGCGAUUAUGAAGUACCUGUAGGUAAUUGGGGUAAGAAAGAUUGUUUCAUAUUUUGUGAUAUAGCAACACCAUUUUAUCUUCAGUUCCUGGUAAACCCGAGGGCCUUAUAAAUGCCAGACCAGAUGAGCCCUCUACCACAGAGCCAUAUGGGCAAUUGUAAACUAAUUCUA